rnacentral:piRNA from 1 species
UGGGAAGAAUGAGAACAGCCGGA